CUCUUCUCCGGUGCUGGUGUGGUAUUGUGGCUGCUUUCAAUCAUCGUUUUCUCCGCUGUUUCAGCUCCGCUCUUCGCCCUUGACCUCCUCUGCAGAGUGAGUCGGCCACGGUGCUGGAGGCUGAUUGAACAGACUGGAAAGGUGAAAAUCCUAAUCCAGCAGAUGGCAGUCAUGGGUCUUCAGUCAACAACACACACUUUCCAGGAA